rnacentral:rRNA from 1 species
AGAAUCAACGCUGGCGGCGUGCCUAACACAUGCAAGUCGCACGAGAAAGGGGAGCAAUCCCUGAGUACAGUGGCGCACGGGUGAGUAACACGUGAAUCAUCUACCUCCGAGUGGGGAAUAACUGAGAGAAAUCUUAGCUAAUACCGCAUAAUACCCACGGGUCAAAGCAGCAAUGCGCUUGGAGAGGAGUUCGCGGCAGAUUAGUUAGUUGGCGGGGUAAUGGCCCACCAAGACGAUGAUCUGUAUCCGGCCUGAGAGGGCGCACGGACACACUGGAACUGAAACACGGUCCAGACUCCUACGGGAGGCAGCAGUGGGGAAUUUUGCGCAAUGGGGAAACCCUGACGCAGCAACGCCGCGUGGAGGAUGAAGCCCCUUGGGGUGUAAACUCCUUUCGAUCGGGAAGAUAAUGACGGUACCGAUAUAAGAAGCCCGGCUAACUUCGCGCCAGCAGCCGC